rnacentral:lncRNA from 1 species
GUUAGUGAGCAAAAGUAACUGAAUGCAAUAUAUUUACCGACAAUAGUGCCUGAGCUUUGUAAGCCACAGUAUUGAUUUACUUCUUUCAAAACCAAAGUGACAGCAAAAGGGGGUGAAAAAUCACAUGAUUCAGGGAAGAUAUCUGAGGAUUUAAAAGUGGCAAACACAAAUCCAUUAGUUUUAAAAUGGGUCAAGAGACAAACCAGAAAAACUGUAGACUAGCAAAUCAGUGAAUUCAACCUUUAUUGUAGAGAAAAUACAAGAUAUUGUGUGAGGGAGAAUGUGGGAGGAAAGAAGUCAGGAAAGGGGUUGGAAAAAUAACAGCUUUAUGAAUCUACACCCAAUUUUCAUCAAGAAAGCAGAAACUUACGUCUUCUAAGGAGCUUUUGUGUAUGCUUUUGCUUGGCUGCUAAAAAUAAAUAACUAAAAGACCCAUGAUGAAUCCGUGGGGCAAGAUUAAAAAGACUGAAAAUCAACAAAAACAGACAGAAUUGGGAGAUCAAUGAGCUCAGGAUCUGAGGCUGGAAUAAGGAUGGGAUGCUGGCUCCCAACUGGGCAUCUUAUACUCGGUCUACUGACUCACGUUCAUCUUCUCCAAGAACACCCUCACAGACACACCUGGAGAAGCUCAAUCAUUCUAAUCAAAAUGAAAACCACCUGGAAUUCCCUUUCAGCAGAAGAGGAAUGGGUUCAGUUCCUACUGAAGCACUGAGAAUAAAUAACCCUUUACCAGCUACCUGAGUAUUCCUUAAUUUAGUCAAGUUUCAUCCAAAAUCAACCAUCACAACUUAUUUUCAAAUGUUGAGCUAGCUUUACAUUCUUUAGAUUAGGUCCUGCUUGUUCAUGAUAUAUUGUACUUUUGUAUCAAGCUACAUUUUAUUUAAAAUACUGUGAAAGUUGUUUGAGCCCGUGUUCAUUAGGGAUAUAGUUCUAAUUUUCCAUUCAAUAUCUUUGUUUGGUUAUGGUACCAAGUUAACAUUGACCUCGUAAAAUGAGUUGAGGAGCGUUUUCUUCUCUAUAUUUUGGAAAAGUUUUUGAAGGAUUUAUACUAUUUCUUUCUUACAGAUUUGUUUGAGCUUCCCAGUUAAGCCAUCUAGUUUAGAGUUUUGUGUGUGUGUGUUUGUUUAACACAUUUUGACUAUUAAUUAAAUGUUUUAAAUACAGAACUAUUUGGGUGAUCGAGUUAUUUUUAAGUUAAUUUGGCAGAUUGUGUCUCCAAGAUUUUGUCUAUUUUAUUUAACAUAAAACUUAUUGGCAUAAAAUCUUCCAUAAUUUGUUGUUUUUAUGUGUUAAUGUAAUAAAUCUGUUGUGAUGUUCCAUCUUUAAUUAUUGACAUUGGUAGUUUGUGUC